GACAGAGGUCCCGAGCGUUGUUCGGAUUCAUUGGGCGUAAAGGGUGUGUAGGAGGUUGGGUAAGUUAGGUGUGAAAGCUCAGAGCUUAACUCUGAAAUUGCGCUUAAUACUGCUCAGCUAGAGGAUCGGAGGGGGUAACGGAAUUUAUGAUGUAGCAGUGAAAUGCGUAGAUAUCAUAAGGAACACCGGUGGCGAAGGCGGUUACCUGGAAGAUUCCUGACUCUGAAACACGAAAGCCAGGGGAGCAAACGGG
rnacentral:rRNA from 1 species